UUUGGCGGCAGUAGCGCGGUGGUCCCACCUGACCCCAUGCCGAACUCAGAAGUGAAACGCCGUAGCGCCGAUGGUAGUGUGGGGUCUCCCCAUGCGAGAGUAGGGAACUGCCAGAC
rnacentral:rRNA from 4 species